CUCUCUGCGUUGGGACCGCGGAGGGCAUUCGCUGUGUGACUCAGGGCAAGUGUGCGCACCUCUCUGAGCCUCCGCGGCCUUCUCUAGCAAAAUGGUGGAGCCGGUACCCGGCUGUAAGGCAAGCUGGGAUGCGCGGAGUAGCGGGUGGAAAGCUGGACUGGAGUUCUCACUCGGCCGCUGGGUGACUUCGGUGCACUAGGGAUAGUAACAGUACCACCUCGUAGGGUUGUAGAAAGACCAAGUGAGUUAAUAUUUGUAAAGUGUUUAGAACAGCGUCUACUGCAUGGAAAGUAGUAUUUAUUUGUUAGAGAGACUCCAGGAGGUCUUGCCCAGGGAUUGACUUCUCCCUUCCCUGUCUCCACCCCCCACAUUCCCGUUUGUGAGCCAAGCCUUGCUUUUGCACCGGCCGGGCUCUCUUGCCUGGAAAUGCAUACCCAUCUCAAACCUGGGCUUUAAAAUCACCUCCUCUGGGACGCCUUCCUCUACUUCUCACAGUUCAGGCCUGUUCUGCCCCACACAGCAGAAAAUGCCCACGAUGCAAUACCAGAGUCUGCAUGGGACCAUUUCAACAACCCUUAGAAGCUGACUCAGCUGUCUCCUGGCCCUGACUUUUCUAAGAUGAGAGGAGCUGGUAGGAACAAUUUGGGAACCCUCAAAGGCUGAGAGUAUCCCACCCACUUCACAGAUGAAGCAAACUGAGGCCCAGAGAAGGGAAAUUACUUGCCCAAGAUCACCCAGCAAGUAAGAAACAGAGCUGGAGAUGAGCUCAGGCCAGCACGGAACCACGCAAACUCCUUCUGUAGGCUUUGUAAAGGAUUGAUGAGAAAAGCAGAUGGUUAAGAGCUCUACAACUUCUGUGAGCUCAUGCCUAAGGAAUCUACAGUGUUUAAAGCUCCCCAGGGCCAGGCGUGGUGGUUCACACCUGUAAUCCCAGCACUUUGGGAGGCUGAGGCAGGCGGAUCACCUGGGGUCAGGAGUUCAAGACCAGCCUGGCUGACAUGGUGAAACCCCAUCUCUACUAAUAAUACAAAAAAAAAAGCUGGGCAUGGUGGCAUGCACCUGUAGUCCCAGCUACUAGGGAGGCUGAGGCACAAGAAUGGCUUGAACCUGGGAGGCGAAGGUUGCAGUGAACCAAGAUCGCGCCACUGUACUCCAGCCUGGGCAACAGAGCAAGACAGAGACUCCAUCUCAAAAUAAAUAAAUAGAAGGCUCUCCAGGACAUUUUGAUGCCCACUGGGAUAUGGGAACUCCUGCCAUGGGGAGGAGGGCGUCUUUAAGAAGGAAUAGGCCCUAUUGAGAUGCCAGCUGUAGACCUCUAGGAGUUGACCAUCGAGCCUGAGAAGGUAAGGAGAGGGUGUAGGAGACCCCUGACUCUGACCUCCACCCUCUCAUUCCUCUCCAGGGCAGUCCCGCACUCUGAUGGCCACAUCUGGUGCCAGGUAGUUUCUCGUAAAGAUCUACACUCACAUUACAACCUAGACAUCCCACUAGUAGGUAUUUACCCAAGACACCUGAAAGCAUGUGUGUACCCAAAGACUCGUAAAUGAAUGCAACUCUAUAUGUAAUAGCCAAAAUUAGAAACAAUCCAAAUGUUCAUCAGCAGGUGAGUGGUAAAACAAGUUGUGAUAUGUUCAUACAAUGUUGCUACUCAGUAAUAAAAAGAAAUGAGCUACAGAUACAGAUAAGGAAACUUGGAGGUGAUAUGUUCAUAAUCUUGUUUGGGUCAAAGGUUUCAGGGAUGUAUACAUGUGUCAAAAC
ensembl:lncRNA SLC2A1-DT SLC2A1 divergent transcript